AGAUCCGUAUUUAAGGAGGCGGAGGACUUCUCUCCAGUGCCAGAGUGUUUGCCAGUAACGAUUGAACCUGCCUGAAACCUGAAACCCUGCAGAGUUUCUCUGCCGGUGAUCUGCCUGUCCGUUCUCAGAAGAACUCUGGAGAACAAUUCCUGUCAAAGAUCUGUCUGCCCGCUCUCAGAAGAUACUGGAAGGAAACUCUAAUCUGUGAUCUGCCUGCACUCAAAUUAAGCUCUGCCUCCGCCUAGCCCUCAGCCUGCCGACAGCCUCUGGAUCCUCAAGGUUCCCCCCCUCAGCUGCUCUGCUCAACUCCAGAACAGUGAACCCACUCGUGACCAGUCCAUUCCCUUCCUGGAUCUGAUUAAUCUGUGUGCCUUUCAGAACCCACUCGUGACCAGACGAGUUCCCCACUGGAUCUGUUCAUUGAAUCUGUACAAUCAUCUUAAUAAACCUUUGAAC